CUUACACAUGCAAGUCGAGCGGAGAUUGCAUUUAUGUAAUCUUAGCGGCGGACGGGUGAGUAGCGCGUAGGCAACCUGCCUUGCACAGAGGGAUAACACCGGGAAACUGGUGCUAAUACCACAUGAUAUCAUAACAAGGCAUCUUGAAAUGAUCAAAGGAUAAAUCCGGUGCAAGAUGGGCCUGCGUCCGAUUAGUUAGUUGGUGAGGUAACGGCUCACCAAGGCGACGAUCGGUAGCCGAACUGAGAGGUUGAUCGGCCACAUUGGGACUGAGACACGGCCCAGACUCCUACGGGAGGCAGCAGUGGGGAAUAUUGCGCAAUGGGGGGAACCCUGACGCAGCAACGCCGCGUGAAGGAAGAAGGCCUUCGGGUUGUAAACUUUUUUGAUUGGGGAAGAAAAAAAUGACGGUACCCAAGGAACAAGCCACGGCUAACUACGUGCCAGCAGCCGCGGUAAUACGUAGGUGGCGAGCGUUGUCCGGAAUUACUGGGUGUAAAGGGCGUGUAGGCGGGAUUGUAAGUCAGAUGUGAAAUUCCAGGGCUUAACUCUGGAGGUGCAUCUGAAACUAUAAUUCUUGAGUGCUGGAGAGGAAAGCGGAAUUCCUAGUGUAGCGGUGAAAUGCGUAGAUAUUAGGAAGAACACCAGUGGCGAAGGCGGCUUUCUGGACAGUAACUGACGCUGAGGCGCGAAAGCGUGGGGAGCAAACAGGAUUAGAUACCCUGGUAGUCCACGCUGUAAACGAUGGAUACUAGGUGUAGAAGGUAUCGACCCCUUCUGUGCCGGAGUUAACACAAUAAGUAUCCCACUUGGGGAGUACGCCCGCAAGCCUGAAACUCAAAGGAAUUGACGGGGGCCCGCACAACCAUUGAAGUAUGUGGUUAAAUUCGAACCAACCCGAAGAACCUUACCAGGCCUGAACAUCCUUCGGAUUAACAUAGAAAUAGGUUAGUCUUUCGGGACGAGAAACCAGUUGUUCCAUGUUGGUCGCCAGCUCGUUUCCGUAAAAUCUUGGUUUAAGUCCGGCAACGAGCGCAACCCUUAUGGUUAGUGGCAAUAAUUAAUUGGGCCAUUUUAACCGGGGCUGCCCGGUGAACCAAUUCGGAGGAAGGUGGGGACGACGUCAAAUCAUCAUGCCCCUUAUGUCCUGGGCUACACACGUACUACAAUGGUCACUACAAAGGGAAGCAAUACCGCAAGGAGGAGCAAAUCC
rnacentral:rRNA from 1 species